GCGCCCUUAGCUCAGCUGGAUAGAGCGUCUGACUACGAAUCAGAAGGACGGAGGUUCGAAUCCUCCAGGGCGCG
rnacentral:tRNA from 1 species